AAUGAACGCUGGCGGCAGGCCUAACACAUGCAAGUCGAACGGGUCCUUCGGGACUAGUGGCGGACGGGUGAGUAACGCGUGGGAACAUACCCAAAGGUACGGAAUAGCCUCUGGAAACGGAGAGUAAUACCGUAUGUGCCCUUCGGGGGAAAGAUUUAUCGCCGUUGGAUUGGCCCGCGUUGGAUUAGGUAGUUGGUGGGGUAAUGGCCUACCAAGCCGACGAUCCAUAGCUGGUUUGAGAGGAUGAUCAGCCACACUGGGACUGAGACACGGCCCAGACUCCUACGGGAGGCAGCAGUGGGGAAUCUUAGACAAUGGGGGAAACCCUGAUCUAGCCAUGCCGCGUGAUCGAUGAAGGCCUUAGGGUUGUAAAGAUCUUUCGGAUGGGAAGAUAAUGACGGUACCAUCAGAAGAAGCCCCGGCUAACUCCGUGCCAGCCGCCGCAGUAA
rnacentral:rRNA from 1 species